AUGUGUAAAUAGUCUAAUUAAUAAAAUAUUCUCGGUGACCUCAAACGCAGCAAGCCUGUUCAAAGUCGCUUUGCUGUGGUGCGGUCAUAGUUGCUCUCCUCUUUGCGUUUCUUGUGAAUUCAGAUCCAAAAAAUGGCAGGUGGACUCGCUGCGCGUUUUUCGAAGCUCCCGGUGCCUCAAUCCUCCGAUGUAAAGUCCGCCGCCAUGUGGGGCGUCGCCGCCGGCACAGGAGCUCUUUGGUUCGUCCAGCCGUUUGAUUGGAUAAAGAAGACAUUUUUCGAGAAGCCUGCUGCGGCUGAAGGCCAAUAAUUUUCACGAUGUUGCUGGAUCUGUGGAAACGCAAUUUUCAUCGUCGUUUCAAGUUCAAUGAGCCAACCAAUUAGAGGAGAGAUCCUAAUUUCCCAUCUGUUUCAAUAAUUUGCUUGUUUUGGAAUAUUUCCAAAGGUUUUUAGAACCUAAUUUUUUUUUUUUUUUUAAAACGCUUUCAGUUAUUUAAAAAAUGUAUAUCAUGAGAUUAUUACGAUGAACUGUUAGAACUUAGAAUGUUUGAUGGGAGACUUUUUACUUUCAGCUUAUCUCAUGUGUAAUCGAUUUGAGUCAAGUACUUGGGUUAAGUAUGUGACUGUUUCUAAAUGAAGCACUUAAUUCGUAAA